GUAGGUGGCAAGCGUUGUCCGGAAUUAUUGGGCGUAAAGCGCGCGCAGGCGGUCCUUUAAGUCUGAUGUGAAAGCCCACGGCUCAACCGUGGAGGGUCAUUGGAAACUGGGGGACUUGAGUACAGAAGAGGAAAGCGGAAUUCCAAGUGUAGCGGUGAAAUGCGUAGAGAUUUGGAGGAACACCAGUGGCGAAGGCGGCUUUCUGGUCUGUAACUGACGCUGAGGCGCGAAAGCGUGGGGAGCAAACAGGGAUUAGAUACCCUGGUAGUCCACGCCGUAAACGAUGAGUGCUAAGUGUUAGGGGGUUUCCCGCCCCUUAGUGCUGCAGCUAACGCAUUAGGCACUCCGCCUGGGGAGUACGGCCGCAAGGCUG
rnacentral:rRNA from 1 species